AUCCAACUGACGAGUCUCAUAUAAGAUGAAACGCUCAUCCUGGAU
rfam:Schistosoma curassoni strain Dakar, Senegal genome assembly, scaffold: SCTD_contig0009882